rnacentral:lncRNA from 1 species
CUUCCACCGUGGUCACACAGCCAGGCUUUCUUAGAGCUCAGUGUGUCCUUCAGGCCACUGGGUGGUGGCGCCAGCCCCAAGUCCUUAGUUCUGCUUGGGAGCUUGAGGCACACAGAUGCAGCCCCAAAGGAGGCUCCAAACAUACUUUGGAAAAAGAAGAGCUCUCCCAUGGCUGCGGGCCAUACCACCUUGUGAUCGCAGAGGUGCGGUCAGGCUGGGGCUGAUCGCUGGGGGCUGCAGAGCCCACCCAAGGGGACCUAGGUGCUCUGAUCCAGUGGGGCUGGUUCCUCACGCGCUGGCACCCCGUCUUCUGAGCCACUUACCCACGCAAGAAGGAGCUGGAGCCAUGAAGCUGAGACACAAAGCCAGACCUAGUGUAUAUCGGAACCUGUAAAGCCCGUUUUCUUUCACCAG